ensembl:lncRNA
UAUGGCUCGGACUGGUGUGGCUGUGGCUGUGGCAUAGGCCACCAGCUGUAGCUCCAAUUUGACCCCUAGCCUGGGAACCUCCCCCCCCCCCCAAAAAAAAGACCAAAAAAAAAAAAAAAAAAAGAAAAUUACAAAGAGGACUACUCUUAAAAUUUAGGCAGGAAAAAUUCUGAGGGUGAUUCUAUCAGGCUGCUUGAGUCUUCUCACCCAGUAUGGAAAUAUCCUAUCCCACUAGUAGAAAACCAAAGUGAGUUUCUAAUGAAACUGAAAAAUGAACAGAUGGUGAGGGCAUUGAUGACGUGUAGUUGGUGCAUAUGAACUUUGAAUUUGCAUUUAAGGAUUUUUUUUAAUUAAGCAUGAGAUUGAAUACUAUCCUAAUUUAAGCUGUAGUUGCUGAAAAUGGUAACUGUUGUUUGGUUAAACUCAAAGAUAUCUACAUCAGAUUAUGUCUUUUAUUAGAAGUAAAACAAAUACUGAUACUGUUAUUUAGAUUAUUGUUACAACAAUCUGUAUGUAAUCAAUUCCUUGUUCAUAUUAGUACAUAAAAACAAUAAUAAACUAAAUGCUAAUCUGGAGAAGAGAAUUUUAUUCUUCUCAGGGUAAGAAUCUAUACCUGGAAUAAUUUCUUAAUCAUAGGAUUAAGAUUUUAUAAGUAAUAAGUAAUGUUGCUUUUAAAAUUGAUUCUAUCUAUUGUCUGAAUUUAGUUUUCUCUUCAAACUUUAGAAUUGUGAGAUUUGAAGUGAUAUCAGAUAUUUAUAAAUGGUAGCAUUAUACCUUUGUCAUUUUUUUUAAGCAGAAGGAAAAAGUAACAAAUUCCACAGAAUUGCAGCAUCAGUUAGAUAAAACAAAGCAACAGCAUCAAGAACAACAAGCUCUUCAGCAAAGCACUACGGCAAAACUUUGAGAAGCUCAGAAUGAUUGGGAAAAAGUGCUUCGUCAAUUUGGUGAUAAGGACCAAAAGAUCCAGAACCUUGAAGCCUUAUUACAGGAGAGUAAAGAAAAUAUUUCUUUCCUAGAAAAGGAAAGAGAAGAUUUUAUGCAAAAACUCAGGCUGGUGAAGGAGAGACCGCUGUUCUUAAUCAGUUGCAGGAAGAAAACCAUAUAUUACAGGAACAAGUAAGCUUGUCUAGUGUAUUCUAUUUCUAAAAUUUAUUUUUAAUCUCUCUAAAUCUUACAAAGUGCUUUAUGUAAAUGAUUCUGUUAAUUUUAGUGCUUGUAAAAUUAUUAUGUAUUUCUGAAAAAAACCGUCUCAUUUACCUUAGAGGUGGGUUGCUAUUGCAGUGAAAAUAAGUUAUUUACCAUGAUUUGAUAAAGGAAAUCUCAGUUCACACCCCAGGAUGUAACUUAUUACCUGUGUGACCAUAAGCAAAUCAUUUAACCAUGUUAACUCAUUGGAAAAGUAUAGUUAGUUCACACUGGGAAGUUAGACUUACUUCUUGGCAUUUUGUGAUGUUUUGAAAAGGAAAAGUAAGGAACAGAAUAUAUUUAUAAACUAUAUCAGGUGUUAGUUAUUUCUGUGUAUUGCUUAAUAUCCAGACGUAGUGGUUAUACAUAUAUUUGAUAAUGUACAUGUCUUUGGGAUAUAUAGUUAAUAACAAUUUUGAUAAGCAGACUUCUUAUUUUAACAUUUGUAUGUUAGUUUAAGUGAAACAUAAAAUUUAUUAGCUCAAUAUGUUUUCAAACUGUAAAGCAUUUAGUGUCACUUUUGGGGAAGAAUUGCCCAAUAGGUGAAUCAUAAUUAUCUAAAUGAAAAAGUUUUAAAAGUAUCAGUAGGCCAUAUCACUUUUCUAAUUUAGGUAUUAGAAUAUAACACAAAACUUUUUUCUGCAUUUCAAAGUUAGCCUUGGCUACCAGUUUUAUGAGGAAUUCUUUAGCCUAGUUUUUAGUUGGAAGUUGCAUACAACGUAAC